ensembl:lncRNA
CAGCACUCUGGGUUCAAGAAGGGGUCGAGAAACUGACUUUUCCAGUAAUGGUUCCCUGGGAGCAGGUGGAGACAUGUUUGACACAAGGUCUUCUGUGCUAGGCAGCAGUGGCAGAAAACUGGAUGAGAGGUUCAUUUUUGAUUCUCUGAAAUUAGCAAAUGAUGAAUUGAGCAAGUCACCAAGAGGGUUUGUGAGGUCGGCGUCCCCCAGCGUAUCCUGCAACUCUGCUCCAAGUGGAUCCAUGAACAAGCGGCAUCAUCACCAGGACAGUAGUAAGAAGGACAACCUCUGCCGCCACUCCUGGAAGGUUUUGGCUCCACCAAAGUUCCCAGAAACAUUCGAACUCUCCCUAGGGGAAAAGACCUACUUAAACCCAGGAGUUGCCUUCUUUCCAAACAGCUUCACCACCCCUCAGAUUUCACCCUUCUCUGGGUCCCCUUUUUCCACUGGAACGCAUACACCUUCUGUGUUCUUCUCUCCCUCUCCAUUGCCCUACCAUCAGCAGUUCAACAGGCAAUCUUUACCAAUCCAACCAUCUUCACCGAGACCACCUCUGUCAGAGUUAUCAGUAAGUGCCCUGAUGAGUGGUCAAGGAGACCAAGACAAACUAGAGAUUGGCCAAGGUAUGAGGGACAAUGGGGGCAUGUCAAAAGAUAACCUGUUUCUGACUUUUAAACCCCCGAACAUUGAGCCUGAGAAAGAACCACCACCAACCACCCCUGAAGCUGAAACAGACACUACGCCCCUUCUGCGCUCCCAAACGUCAAAAAGACCUGCCAUCUCCCCUACACCAAUGGAGUCUACCUGGCCCCGGCGACUUAUUGGAAGGAGGAGGACGGUAAGACAAGGUGGUGCUGUUCAUAACCUCCCGAUUCUUCCCCCACUACCCUCUCUGCUAAUCCGGAGUGUCUCUGACAAAAAGACCAUUCCUCGUCUUUCACCAUUCCCAGAGCACCAAGGGAAUGUGGAUGGACAGCUCAGCAAGUCUAUGUUAACAAGAGAUUUGAAGGAUUGCUCACUACAGGAAUGGAAGCUCUUGCGGGAGCAAGAGGAACGUAAACCUGAAGCAUGCAAAAUUGAGAGUGUGAUUGAGGAAGAUUUAGAAGAAGAGAGCAAAAUUGUGUUCAUACAGGAGAGCGUUGAGCCAUGCACUGAUGAAAAUACCACUCCUGAAUGUGAGGAAGAGAACUGGGAAGCUGUGUUAGAGAUGGUUAAUUUGCUUUGGGAUGAGACGUGGAAUGAAGAUUUGCAAAGUGUUGGCUCCCUAAGGCGCUGGCCUCUUUUACAUCCUCCAUCGGGGUUUGGUGGCUCACAAGCUCCGUCAGGUACAAGCUCAGAACUGGGUGCUGAAGAUAUGUUGGAGAUUGAGAGAAUGGACCGAGAGGUUGUGGGAAGCCAAGAUGAUGAUGAACCACAAUUUCAGUACAAUUUACACACAUGCAAAGGUCAAAAUAAUAUUAUUGUGACUCAGCCAGGGAGCCUUAAACUCGCUCAUGAUAAGGUCCCAACCUGUUUAGAUCUCACCAUCAUUGACGCCCAAAUGGGAAACAAAUACGGCCAUAGCGAGUCACCCGAUUCCAACCUGACACUAGACUCAGAUUCAAGUGGUGUCUACAUGUCAAAUCCCAGCCAAACCAGUAGAGAGGACAUCACUAUGUCAGAUCUUGGAAGCAUUACAUCUCUUAGUCAAGGGGAAGAGGGAAAAGUCGACAUCAGAAAGACUGGGACAUACUCUUCGAUUCCAAAAGCAAAUAAAUUGACAACUUUUAACCAAAAAGAUCCCCCUGGGCUGAGAGCUAACAGCAUAGAGCUAGGAAGGCAAGCAUUUUGUAAAGAGAUUACAACCAGAGCUACAGAAAUACAAGCACGCUUGAAACCUGUGGACACUGUAUCUCAAACCCUAGAGAUUCUUAACACUGUGAACACAUCACAGACUGAUGUGCCUUUACCGCUGUCCCCCUCCAAACAUGAAGCUAAAGAAACACUAUUAGUCAAGAGUGAUGCAGAUCCAUUCAUUGCCACAGAUAGUUUUGUCUACCUGGCAGUGGCAGUGCUGCCCCAAACCACACAGGAAAGCAUGACCAAACCUCCACUGGAGGAGCCGUUGCCUCCUACUUCCUUCGCCAAACCUUGCCCUUACCCUGAUGAAUGUGACUUCCUCUCUACAGACAGUUUUGUUUACCUGGCUGCUCCUGACUGCCACCUGCUGGUUACAGAGGGACAUUCGUUAUAUGACUCAAAAGAUUCUGAAUCAGAGGACAGCGGUUCUAAGGCAGACUUUGUUCUGGCCUCUGCUGUAGGAGGAGAUAGCGACUGGGACUCAGACCUGACUGAUUCUGAACCCGAGCCAAACUCUUCCAAGCCUGCGUGGGACUACUGGGAGGAGCUAGAGCAGGGGGUGUUGCAGGAGCUAUUCAGCGAGGACCAAUCGGAUGCAGACAAACUGCUCCAUGGCAACCAAGCUCAGCAGAUUUCCUGCCAGCCUGGGGAGUUGGCUGCUAUUGUUGUACAGGAGAGAGCUGAGCUGGAAGAGGUGUCCUCACAGUACACACAGGGGGCAGAGACACACACUGAGGUGAAGUCUGUAUCC